AGUACCAAAGACAUCCAGAUGUCACUGGUUAGCGUCCAGCUCUCACAAUCAUGCAGCAAGACGGGCAGCACCAGGACCGGAAGACUGGGACGUUUGUUCACCUGCAAAGGUAUCGGCAUCGUCAAACACCUCUAUCCAGUGACCUCAUGACUCCAUAAGCUCUUCC